UACGUAGGGGGCAAGCGUUGUCCGGAUUUAUUGGCGUAAAGAGCGUGUAGGCGGCCUUACAGGUCAGCUGUGAAAACUCGAGGCUCAACCUCGAGACGUCGGUUGAAACCGUAUGGCUAGAGUCCGGAAGAGGAGAGUGGAAUUCCCGGUGUAGCGGUGAAAUGCGCAGAUAUCGGGAAGAACACCCGUGGCGAAGGCGGCUCUCUGGGCGGUACUGACGCUGAGACGCGAAAGCGUGGGGAGCGAACAGGA
rnacentral:rRNA from 1 species